rnacentral:rRNA from 1 species
UCUAAGACUUAGAGACUGUGGGUGGAUUACUAGGUGCUUUGAACCGACGAAGGACGUCAAACUGACGAAAUUUCUAAGUAGAACACUGUCCAUGCUGUGUGCAGCUUUAAAGAUAUUUUCCAGAACUUAGAAUUCUCCGAAUAAGGAAACUUUUAUCUAUACAAGAGCUUGUGUAAGGUUACGUGAGGAACUGAAACAUCUUAGUACUCACAGGAAAAUAAAAUAACAAGGAGUAUCUUCGUAGCGGCGAGCGAGUUGAUAUGAAAACACCUAAGUUACCUUGUUUGUCUAAAAAGACAAACAAGGUAACUGUAGAUCUUGUAGAUCAGGACUGGAGAAAUCUUGAUUGAAAUAGCAAACCCCUCUUUGUAAGAAUUAAGUCGACAUUAAGUUGUGUAAUAAUGACCUUUAUUACAAAAUUCUUUUUGUAGGUGUUGAUAUUCAAAGUAACCGAUAGUGAAAAGUACCGUGAGGGAACGUUGAAAUAGAGCCUGGAGAGGUGAUGAAAUAGGUAAUUGAAACCUACAGUCUAUGACCAAUGGAAGGGUUUUUGAACCUAACUAUGUGCCUAUUGAAGAAUGCGCCAAUGAGUUUUAAUAGUGUGGCAAGGUAUAAAACAUAUAUGUUUUACAAGCGCCUAAGUGAAAACGAGUCAAAAACGGCAAGAGUCCUCUAUUAAAGACCCGAAUCUAAGUGAUCUAAUCAUGUUCAAGGCGAAAUUUGUGUAAAAGCAAAUGAAGGCCUGCACUGGUUGAUGCUGCAAAAUCAUCGGAUGAAAUGUGGUUAGGGGUGAAAUGCUAAACGAACUUAGAUCUAGCUGGUUCUCUUUGAAAUAUGUCGAGGCAUAGCUACAGAUAAUAUUUUUGUAGGUAGAGCACUUUUUUACGGUGGGCCCUCGGGUAUCAUAGUAAGAAAAACUCCGAAUGGCAAAAAAGUUUUAUAUGUAAGUCAUACAAUGAGAGAUAACUUCCGUUGUAGAAAGGGAAACAGCCCUCAUCACCCAAUAAGGCACUUAAAUUAUAUUUUAAAAUCACGGUAUGUGAGCUGACCUGGACAACUAGGAGGUUGGCUUAGAAGCAGCAAUCCUUUAAAGAGUGCGUAAUAGCUCACUAGUCGAGUCAGUUUGCGCUGCAAAUGUAAGGUUCUUAAAGUAUAUGCCGACGUGGUGAAAAUGCAUUUGCAUUUGGUAAAAGAGUGUUCUCAAUUCAGUAAUGGUAGUACAGUUUGAGAAACUGUACUAACCCUAGCCCGUAUCUAAAAAUGUUCUAGACCCACAAUUAACAGGCCCGAUUAAGUGAAGUAUAAGUUAUAUAAUGUUAUAUAAUAACACCGUUUUGCUUUAGAGAGGUCACAAGUUAAGUAUUAGUUCUGGGCAUUUGGGUAUGAUUAAGGUAAGGCAUCGAAGUUUUGAGAAGUAAGACUAUUGGCUUGAGUAACGUUAACAGUGGUUUUCAGUUAACUAAUUAAGAGAGUAUCCACUGCCUUGAUUACCCAAGGGUUCCUCCACAUAACGGAUUAUUCAUGGGGGGUUAGUCGGAACCUAAAGUCUAACCGGCGGUUUAGAACGAUGGAAGGUGCUGACGAAAAUUCAGUGUAGAUACAGUGCUUGUCACUCAAUGACGACGGGGUUUUGUGGUUGCUUACAAGGUUCCGCCCAAGAAAAGUUGAGGUUUUAAUAACAUUUUGGUUUAUAUAAAUAGAAUUGCGUUACAGAAAUGAGAUACAUAGAUUAUAGACGUUAAAGGUUGCUACCUUCCUAUUUUAUAAAUAAUGUUUUACGUGCUGUUUUUUCCGUACCGUAAAUUGACUCAGAUGGGUAAGUUUGAAUAAAACCAGAGGUUCGAAAUAAUUCUCUUUAAGGAACUCGGCAAAAUGACUCCGUAACUUCGGGAGAAGGAGAGCCUUUUAGUAAACUGACAAAAGGUUAUUGUUAAGAGGUUUGAGCGACUGUUUAUCAAAAACACAGGUCUCCGCUAAGUUGAAAGAUGAUGUAUGGAGGCUGACGCCUGCCCAGUGCCAAUCGGCUAUAAAUUGAUGAAGUGUAAUUUGCUUUGUUAUGAAGCCCUGGUAAACGGCGGCCGUAACUAUAACGGUCCUAAGGUAGCGAAAUUCCUUGUCGGGUAAGUUCCGACCCGCAUGAAAGGCGUAACGACUUAAACACUGUCUCAAAGAGAAAGUCGGUGAAAUAGCAGUGUCUGUGAAGAUGCGGACAUAUCACAUUUGGACAGAAAGACCCUAUGAAGCUUUACUAUAAAUUAAUAUUGCUAAUUAAUUCUCAUUAUACAAUUAAAGUGGGAGAUACGUCGUCAGUGAGAUACCACUUGGUGUAGGGUUAAUUAACUAACGAGAAGUCAAACUUUUCAGACAGUGUUAAUAAGAUAGUUUGACUGGGGCAGUCGCCUCCUAAAAGGUAACGGAGGUGUACUAAGGUCUUCUCAGAAUCGGUCGGAAACCGUUUGUAGAGCAUAAAGGUAUAAGAGGGCCUAACUGUGAGAUUAGUGUAUCGAGCAGAAACGAAAGUUGGUCUUAGUGAUCCGGCAGUGCUUAGAGGAAGGCCUGUCGCUCAACGGAUAAAAGUUACUCUAGGGAUAACAGGCUAAUCUCCUCCUAGAGUCCCUAUCGACGAGGAGGUUUGGCACCUCGAUGUCGGCUCGUCGCAUCCUGGGGCGGUAGUAGGUCCCAAGGGUUGGUCUGUUCGCCCAUGAAAGCGGCACGUGAGCUGGGUUCAGAACGUCGUGAGACAGUUCGGUCCGUAUCCAAUGUGAGCGUAAAUAAACAGAGAAGUAAUUUUUCUAGUACGAGAGGACCGAAAAAUGACUCUCCCUGGUGUACCAAUUAUUUUCAGAGUCUUUUGGUCACUCCAGAGAGGUAUUCGUUGGGUAGCUACAGAGUUCCUAAAUAACCGCUGAAAGCAUCUAAGUGGGAAGUUAGCUUUAAGACCAGUUUGUUGUAUUUUUGAUCUAAGGGCAAAGCAAGAACAGCUUAUAGAUAGUUAGCCUGUGUAAGUUUAGUAAUAAGUGUUAGCUAAGCUACCCUAACAGCAUCAAAUCUUAGAGAC